AAUCUCGCCCACGAGCUGAGUGAUGUUUACAACUCAACUCUCACCUUGCUGCAGUACCGAUUAGCCUUACAGUUAAUCCCAUCCAAUUAUUUUAUAAGUAUCUGCUACCUGAACAUGGCACACAUAUGUCUACACAGAGAGGGAGAGCCAGGUGCAGAGGUCCAAGGUGUAUCUUGAACAGCGGUUGGAGAGAUACCAGCAUGGUGCAUGAUGAUGAUGCUGGAGAGGACACCAGGAGCACUUUUGGAUGUGAUCCAUCUCAUGCAGGCCAACCAGUGAAGUGGAGAAUGUGUGUGGGGAGGCCCUUUUUGGAGCACCUGUGGCAGGUGUCCUGAAAUGCAAACUGACAUUGAGAUGAAGUGCUGUGGUGGGGGGGGCAGUGCAUUGCCGCACAUAUACAGUGGUUCAUCCUUUAAAAGUUGCUGUGUACUGCAGCACAGCUUGCGUGGUGCCGCAGAAUUCUAGGGCACGUUAUUUAUCCAUUAAUAGUUAGUUAGUGCUAGUUUGACCACCAGAGGGCAUCUUUAACAAUCAUUUGAUAGCCUUCAAUAGUGGCUGUAUGUCACGUUCUGACCUUUAUUUUCCUUUGUUUUGUCUUUAUUUA